CGGAGGGUGCAAGCGUUAUCCGGAUUUAUUGGGUUUAAAGGGUCCGUAGGCGGACCGAUAAGUCAGUGGUGAAAUCUCAUAGCUUAACUAUGAAACUGCCGUUGAUACUGUCGGUCUUGAGUAAAUUUGAAGUGGCUGGAAUAAGUAGUGUAGCGGUGAAAUGCAUAGAUAUUACUUAGAACACCAAUUGCGAAGGCAGGUCACUAAGAUUUAACUGACGCUGAGGGACGAAAGCGUGGGGAGCGAACAGGAUU
rnacentral:rRNA from 1 species